ensembl:lncRNA
AACAGCUGUCCAAACGCCCAGCAGAAGCAGAGCUGCGUGGAGGACGCAGUGGGCCCGAGUGUGGUGAGGCUCGAGGAAGGACCAGCAGACACACUGGAGGUCAGCAGGCUGCUGGUGGGGACCCCGGAGGUAGGGACGGUGCCUGGGGUGGAGGCAGGGGGCCUGAAGGAGCCGGUGGCUGGCGGAGGGCCUGCCGUGGUGGUCAGCACUGGGGUGGUGCCUAGAGUACUGAGAGGGUGGGAAGUCACAGGCACCGCUGAGGAAGCGCUGCUGCUCAGGGGCCACGGCGUCCAUGGCGCGGAGGUGUGUGGAAGGCUGCUGGUGGAGGCGGGAGGCACAGAGGGACUCUCAGAGGUGAUGGGGAGGCUGGCACUUCUCCAGGUGCUGGUCUCUGUGGAGAAGCCUGUCCCCGUCCACCUGCUGGUGGCCAAGGUGGUCAGGGUCUGGGUGUAGAGACUAGGCCACAGUGUGAAGGUGGGAGACGGCAUGGUGGGGCAGUGGCUACGGUCGCAGCAGAGCACACGCACGUUGUAGUUGAAGCACAUAGUGAACAUGCCUGUCUGGUCCUCAUUGCGGCACACCAGCCCAGUCUGCAGGCUGCAGACCACCACCUGCCCAAUCUGGUCGAUGCUUACCUCUGGGUAGUUCUCCGCCCGACACUCGAUCUUCUCAGGUGCUAGGCACAUCUUGCCCCCUGCGGCCCUGAUGUUGUCGUAGGUCUCCACAUCCCCACCUGGGACCCCCGACGUGGGGAAGUCCACAUCAAACCACUCUGUCCACUGGCACUUGGGCUGGCAGCCGGUCGUGCCCUGCCUGGUAGUGGCCUCGGUUGUGGUGCCUAGAGAUGUCUGCAUCCUGCGUGUGCUGACCUCGGUGUAGGGGGUGGAUGGCCGGUGUGUGGUGGUCUUUUGCACCAGGCUGGUGACCAGACGUUGUGUGGGGACAAUGCUGGCAGUCAGGGGAGUGGUGGCCGUGCUCAGUGUGGUGGUGGCCGUCUCCUCUGUGGUGCUCAGUGGUGUGGUGGUGGCCGUUCUCAGUGUGGUGGUAGCCGUCUCCUGUGUGGUGUUCAAUGGCGUGGUGGUGGCCGUGCUUAAUGUGGUGGUGGCUGUCUUCUGUGUGGUGCUCAGUGGUGUGGUGGUGGCCGUGCUCAGUGGGGUGGUGGCUGUCUCCUGUGUGGUGCUCAGUGGUGUGCUGGUGGCCGUUCUCACUGUAGUGGUUGCUGUCUUCUGUGUGGUGCUCAGUGCUGUGGUGGUGGGCGAGCUCAGUGUGGUGGUGGCUGUCUCCUGUGUGGUGUUCAAUGGUGUGGUGGUGGUCGUGCUCACUGUAGUGGUUGCUGUCUUCUGUGUGGUGCUCAGUGGUGUGGUGGUGGCCGUGCUCAGUGUGGUGGUGGCCGUCUCCUGUGUGGUGCUCAGUGGUGUGGUGGUGGCCGUGUUCACUCUGGUGGUGGCCGUCUCCUGUGUGGUGCUCAGUGGUGUGGUGGUGGCUGUGCUCAGUGUGGUGGUGGCCGUCUCCUGUGUGGUGCUCAGUGGUGUUGUGGCCAUGCUCAGUGUGAUGGUGGCUGUCUUCAGUGUGGUGCUCAGUGGUGUGGUGGUGGCCGUGCUCAGUGUGGAAGUGGCCGUCUCCUGUGUGCUGCUCACUGUGGUGGUGAGUGUCUCCUGUGUGGUGCUCAGUGGUGUGGUGGUAGCUGUUCUCACUGUGGUGGUGGCCGGUUUCUGUGUGGUGCUCAGUAGUUUGCUGGUGGCCGUGCUCAGUGUGGUGGUGGCCGUCUCCUGUGUGGUGCUCAGUGGUGUGGUGGUGGCUGUGCUCACUCUGGUGGUGGCCGUCUCCUGUGUGGUGCUCAGUGGUGUGGUGGUGGCUGUGCUCAGUGUGGUGGUGGCUGUCUUCAGUGUGGUGCUCAGUGGUGUGGUGGUGGGCAUGCUCAGUGUGGACGUGGCUGUCUCCUGUGUGCUGCUCACUGUGGUGGUGAGUGUCUCCAGUGUGGUGCUCAGUGGUGUGGUGGCUGUGCUCACUGUGGUGGUGGUCGGCUUCUGUGUGGUGCUCAGUGGUUUGCUGGUGGCCGUGCUCAGUGUGGUGGUGGCCUUCUCCUGUGUGGUGCUCAGUGGUGUGGUGGUGGCCGUGCUCAGUGUGGUGGUGGCCUUCUCCUGUGUGGUGCUCAGUGGUGUGAUGGUGGCCGUUCUCAGUGUGGUGGUGACCGUCUCCUGUGUGGUGCUCAAUGGUGUGGUGGUGGCCGUGCUCACUCUGGUGGUGGCCGUCUCCUGUGUGGUGCUCAAUGGUGUGGUGGUGGCUGUGCUCAGUGUGGUGGUGGCCGUCUCCUCUGUGGUGCUCAGUGGUGUUGUGGCUGUGCUCAGUGUGGUGGUGGCCGUCUCCUCUGUGGUGCUCAGUGGUGUUGUGGCCAUGCUCAGUGUGGUGGUGGCUGUCUUCAGUGUGGUGCUCAGUGGUGUGGUGGUGGCAGUGCUCAGUGUGGAAGUGGCCGCCUCCUGUGUGCUGCUCACUGUGGUGGUGACUGUCUCCUUUGUGGUGCUCAGUGGUGUGGUGGUGGCUGUGCUCACUGUGGGGGUGGCCGACUCCUGUGUGGUGCUCAGUGGUGUGGUAGUGGCUGUGCUCACUGUGGUGGUGGACGGCUUCUGUGUGGUGCUCAGUGGUUUGGUGGUGGCUGUGCUCAGUGUGGUGGUGGCCGUCUCCUCUGUGGUGCUCAGUGGUGUGGUGGUGGCCGUGCUCACUCUGGUGGUAGCCGUCUCCUGUGUGGUGCUCAGUGGUGUGGUGGUGGCUGUGCUCAGUGUGGUGGUGGCCGUCUCCUCUGUGGUGCUUAGUGGUGUUGUGGCCGUGCUCAGUGUGGUGGUGGCUGUCUUCAGUGUGGUGCUCAGUGGUGUGGGGGUGGCAGUGCUUAGUGUGGAAGUGGCCGUCUCCUGUGUGCUGCUCACUGUGGUGGUGACUGUCUCCUUUGUGGUGCUCAGUGGUGUGGUGGUGGCUGUGCUCACUGUGGUGGUGGCCGUCUCCUGUGUGGUGCUCAGUGGUGUGGUGGUGGCUGUGCUCGGUGUGGUGGUGGCCGUCUCCUGUGUGGUGCUCAGUGGUGUUGUGGCCGUGCUCAGUGUGGUGGUGGCCGUCUCCUGUGUGGUGCUCAGUGGUGUGGUGGUGGCUCUGCUCAGUGUGAUGGUGGCCGUCUCCUCUGUGGUGCUCAGUGGUGUUGUGGCUGUGCUCAGUGUGGUGGUGGCUGUCUCCUGUGUGGUGCUCAGUGGUGUGGUGGUGGCUGUGCUCAGUGUGGUGGUGGCCGUCUCCUCUGUGGUGCUCAGUGGUGUUGUGGCCGUGCUCAGUGUGGUGGUGGCUGUCUUCAGUGUGGUGCUCAGUGGUGUGGGGGUGGCAGUGCUUAGUGUGGAAGUGGCCGUCUCCUGUGUGCUGCUCACUGUGGUGGUGACUGUCUCCUUUGUGGUGCUCAGUGGUGUGGUGGUGACUGUGCUCACUGUGGUGGUGGCUGUCUCCUGUGUGGUGCUCAGUGGUGUGGUGGUGGCUGUGCUCAGUGUGGUGGUGGCCGUCUCCUCUGUGGUGCUCAGUGGUGUUGUGGCCGUGCUCAGUGUGGUGGUGGCUGUCUUCA